rnacentral:rRNA from 1 species
UGCAGUCGAACGAUCACUUCGGUGGUAGUGGCGCACGGGUGCGUAACGCGUGGGAAUCUGCCCUUGGGUUCGGAAUAACAUCGGGAAACUGAUGCUAAUACCGGAUGAUGACGUAAGUCCAAAGAUUUAUCGCCCAGGGAUGAGCCCGCGUAGGAUUAGCUAGUUGGUGGGGUAAAGGCCUACCAAGGCGACGAUCCUUAGCUGGUCUGAGAGGAUGAUCAGCCACACUGGGACUGAGACACGGCCCAGACUCCUACGGGAGGCAGCAGUAGGGAAUAUUGGACAAUGGGGGCAACCCUGAUCCAGCAAUGCCGCGUGAGUGAUGAAGGCCUUAGGGUUGUAAAGCUCUUUUACCAGAGAUGAUAAUGACAGUAUCUGGGGAAUAAGCCCCGGCUAACUCCGUGCCAGCAGCCGCGGUAAUACGGAGGGGGCUAGCGUUGUUCGGAAUUACUGGGCGUAAAGCGCACGUAGGCGGCGAUUUAAGUCAGAGGUGAAAGCCCGGGGCUCAACCCCGGAACUGCCUUUGAGACUGGAUUGCUUGAAUCCGGGAGAGGUGAGUGGAAUUCCGAGUGUAGAGGUGAAAUUCGUAGAUAUUCGGAAGAACACCAGUGGCGAAGGCGGCUCACUGGAC